CGCCUCCAAGGCUCCGCGAUCGACACCAAGGAAACGCGGCCAAGUUUAGGGCCGCUAGUUCUCAACCUUGUCCAGAGUGGGCUUUAAUCCAUGACUCCAAAGCAAGUCCCUGAGGCUAACACAGAGUGAAGCAUGGAUCACCACUAAACGACAAAGGUAGAUCUGAGCAGCAGGGAGAACAGUCAACAUUUCAUUCCCCUCUCCUGACAAGAGCAUCCUCUUCGACUCCCUCUGCCCAACCCAGCGUAGCUGUUCAUGUGUCUCAAGUUUUAGCCCACUUGCCCUCUCUUAACAGCUCCCAAUGAGAACCACAGGCUACCAGAGGAUGCAGCUUUUAUUGUUAUCUCCAGAAACCAGAAAGACUAUGUACUCAAUUUCAGUUACUCCCUAUGCCUCCAUGAUCGCAUGUUGCUCCACCUUGGGCGAAUAUAAAUUGCCUCUAGAUUUUCCAAA